UGGAGUUUGGAACUGACUUGAUGUACAUUUGGCAGGAGGCCAAAGCAGAUCAGAAUCAACGUCCAGAAGAAAAUGCCAAAUACAAGAAAAUAACAGGGACUUAAUAUGAUUUAAUAUCAAUAAAUUGUUUGAGGUCUAUUCAUCACAGUCUGGACUGAAACACUGCUUUUCCUCCAUAUCAUGGAGCCAAACUGUUGAGGAAGGUUCAUGACAGAAGACCUACUGACCCUGUUCCUGCUGUUUCUACAAUUUCCUCUGUUCUUUUUUAUUAAAGCAACAGCUACCAUAUCUUACUCUGACAUACUCUGAUGUAGCCAUCCCAUCAAUCCACACCUCCAAAGUGGUUUUGGGUCUCAGCACACAAAGCUUGACCUUGGGCUAUGCCUAGCACAGCUGGUGCCAAAUAACGUGAAUUUUCUUCCUACAUCACAUAUAGAAAGGCCCUGGUAGUGCCCUACCUCUUCCCUCCUCUUCUCUCAUAACAUUUGGGUGUUUUAUAUGCAGGAGUCACAGUAGCUGAGAUUUGACCUCACCUCUGACACAUAUUUCACUGCUGAGCCUUUCCUCCUUCUUCAUCUACUGCCCAACCCACAGCCUCUCCCUUCCCAGCCCAGAAAAUCUGAAGUACUUUAUACAGAGGAUAGACGCUGUGGGCUUGAGGGCAUCUCCACCCUGGGGGAUCAGGUGGUUAAGGCAUGUCCCGAGUGGCUGCAGGAAGGGAUAAAGCUCAGUAAGGUAAAGGUGUGACGUAAGCCUGUGUUUACUAUGCUCCCAUUGAAUUACCGAAGAGAAUACAGCAAAGAACAGAUAGGAGGCACCUCUGACUCCUCUGCUGGCUUUUGUGUCAUGUCCAUGCACUGUGGAAUGCCACGUCCAGUGCAGCCUAUGCCUUCUUGAAGAUUUCAUGAGAUGGGCAAAGGUGAGAAAGCCCAAGAGGCUGCAGAUCAUAGAAUGGUUUGGAUCUUUAAAGGUCAUCUAGUCCAACUACCCCACAAUGACCUGGGACAUUUGACAUUUGAUCAGGUUGCUCAGAGGUCCAUCUAACCUGACCUUGAAUGUUUUCAGGGAUGGGUCACCCACCACCUCUCUGGGCAACCUAUGCCAGGGCCUCACCACCCUCAUCAUAAAAAAAGCGUCUUCCUUAUGUCUAGUUUGCAACCCAUCCUUUUGUAGCUUAAAACCAUUUCCCCCAUCCUAUCACUACAGGGCCUACUAGAAAGUCUGUCAUCACCUGUAUUACACACCCUCUUUAAGUAUUAAAAGAUUGAAGUCUACUGUGCUGCAGUAGACUUGAGAACAGACAAGGUAAGUACCUACAAGGCUUGAUGAGACCCACUGACUUUUAAACAUUCUCUUGCUUUUGCAUUUAAAAGACAUCUUACCUAAUGUGUUUCUUAAUUAGUUACCAAUAAAGUGACAUGUGAUAUCGGUGCUGCUAUAAUAGCAGCACUGUGAAGAACACCUGACUGUGAUAUACUGUAUCUCCAAAUGGACAAUAAAACAUAAAGCAUUAUUUAUAUUGAGUUAACAAAAUGAUCCACAAAAGAUACUAGAGCUUCCAUUUAGCUCAUCUGAUAUUUAAAAAUAAAGGAGCAAGCAUUUUUGUUCACACAUCUGCCGCUUGAUCUUAUCACCAUCAUCAUCAUCAUCAUUAUUUUACAUAAACAUAAUUACUCUUUGUGUAAUGUAUAAAUUCAAAUACGAUGUGUAAUGGCAUUCUAACAACUGCUGGGAAUUAAAUGCUUACUUUCCAUAACCUGGUAUAAAUGAUGUUUGCAAGUAAGUAUACACUGUGUAAGGAUGAGAACUGUUAUUUUACAGGAGACAAGUAUUAGAAAGUGAAAAUUGUUGUCAGUUUGCCAUAGAAUUAAGCUCAAAACCAAUAAGGCCUUAGCUGGUUUUAUGUUCUGUAAUGAGCAAGGGGCCUAGGCUGGACUCACUGACAUUUUUAGAUACCCAACGUUUAUUUCUUAUUUCAGAUGAGAAUCACAAAAAGGUUGUGGC